GGGUUAGUCUCGUAGGUGACCUGCGGAGGGAUCAUU
rnacentral:rRNA from 1 species